AGAGUUUGAUCCUGGCUCAGAACGAACGCUGGCGGCGUGGAUCAGACAUGCAAGUCGAACGAGGUUAGUCUGGUAGCAAUACUGGGCUGACCUAGUGGCGAACGGGUGCGUAACACGUGACCAACCUACCUGAAAGUGGGGGAUAGCUCGGCGAAAGCCGGAUUAAUACCGCAUGUGAUCGUAAGAUUAAAGCAGCAAUGCGCUUUUAGAGGGGGUCGCGGCCUAUCAGCUAGUUGGUGAGGUAAAGGCUUACCAAGGCAGCGACGGGUAGCUGGUCUGAGAGGACGACCAGCCACACUGGAACUGAGACACGGUCCAGACACCUACGGGUGGCAGCAGUCGAGAAUUUUUCUCAAUGGGGGAAACCCUGAAGGAGCGACGCCGCGUGGAGGAUGAAGGCUUUCGGGUUGUAAACUCCUGUCAUCUGGGAACAAAACUCGCAAGAGCUUGAUAGUACCAGAAGAGGAAGAGACGGCUAACUCUGUGCCAGCAGCCGCGGUAAUACAGAGGUCUCAAGCGUUGUUCGGAUUCAUUGGGCGUAAAGGGCGCGUAGGCGGUGGGGUAAGUCUGGUGUGAAAUCUCGGAGCUCAACUUCGAAAUUGCACUGGAUACUGCUCUGCUAGAGGGCUGGAGAGGAGAUCGGAAUUCACGGUGUAGCAGUGAAAUGCGUAGAUAUCGUGAGGAAGACCAGUGGCGAAGGCGGAUCUCUGGACAGCUCCUGACGCUGAGGCGCGAAGGCUAGGGGAGCAAACGGGAUUAGAUACCCCCGUAGUCC
rnacentral:rRNA from 1 species